UUACAGGGGUCUUAUUCUACAGGACCUCACCUUUGUACAUCUUGGAAAUCCAGACCACAUUGAUGGUAAAGUUAACUUCUCCAAGCGCUGGCAACAGUUUAACAUUUUGGACAGCAUGAGGCGUUUCCAGCAGGUACAUUAUGAUAUAUGACGGAACGAUGAAAUCAUCUCCUUUUUCAACGACUUCAGCGACCACCUGGCCGAGGAGGCUCUGUGGGAACUGUCUUUAAAGAUCAAACCUCGAAAUAUAACAAGGAGGAAAACAGAGAGGGACGAGAAAACCUAAAGCGGUUUUGGCAGGAGAGACUGCAAAGCGGGAAAUAUCUGCCGCAAAGAGGGGAAACCAAGGAGUCGACAUGUUUACUGUUGCUUACACCGACAUCUUUCUUAACCCCUCCCAGUAACAUGGGACAUAAUCUUCCUGUUGCCGCCAUCUGUGUUAUGGCGUAUUAUUUGUGCAAUCUAGUAGGAGACAGACGGACUGUGCCAUUGCUACAUGUAACCCAAGGUCAUAUAUGGGGAUGCAUGUUUAUGGGCUCCAGUUUAAUUUGUCCCCGUAUGUUAAUUCUAAAGAAUCUGGUCAAACACUGACGAGGAAGAAUGGGUAUAAAACCCAGAAAAAUACUGCAAUCAAGAACUCACUUUAUUUGCCAAGAUUUAUCCUUUAUUUUAUAACCCUGCCAUCUUUUCCCCCCCUAGCAGAGCGCGGCAUGCGCUCCGCUCUUGUAAAUGUCAGUAUUUUCAUUUAAGGCAGGCUAAUGUGAUAUUAUUUUUUUACGGUCUUGCAUGACUGUCAUAACAGGGACUGUGCUCAAUGUACAUACAGGAUUACAAGUCCAGAUUAUAAAUCUGUGUAAGUGAGAAUCAGCCGGACGUCACAGAUCGCUCUCACUCAACAGGUCAAAUAAAUGUUUCAAACAUUAGUGAAAAUUGUCUUGCUGAAACUGUUUGUUUUUUUGUCUAGAUAACCAUUUAACUUAUUUGUAUCUUAUGAUGAUGUUUUUUUGUGCUCAUUCUGCUAAAGUCCAUAACAGCCGCUGCUUGUCUUAGCACAGCGGUACCAGCAGAGUAAUCUGGUCCUAUCAAUAAAAACAACAUUAAACACA